GACGAACGCUGGCGGCGUGCUUAACACAUGCAAGUCGAACGAAGUGGCGAACGGGUGAGUAACGCGUAAUAAACCUGCCCUUCAGAGGGGGACAACAGUUGGAAACGACUUCUAAUACCGCAUACUGAAGGCGGGGAUUGCGUCUGAUUAGUUAGUUGGAGGGGUAACGGCUCUCCAAGGCGAUGAUCAGUAGCCGGCCUGAGAGGAUGAACGGAAAUAUCGGGAAUGGGACACGGCACCGACAACUACGGGAGGCAGCAGUGGGGAAUCUUCCGGCAUGGACGAAAGCCCUAAGGAGAAAUGCAGCGUGAGUGAGGACUGCCUUCUGGUUGUAAAGCUCUGUUAAUCGGGACGAGGUAUCGGAAUAGAAAGCAACAGCUAACUACUUGCCAGCAGCCGCGGUAAUUC
rnacentral:rRNA from 1 species